CGUUAUGAGUGUCCCCAGCCCCUUUGCAGAGGAGACUUAACACAUAUCAUGGAUGCUACUUAAUUAUUAGAGCCCUAAUUAGGGGCUGCGUCGCCCCCUGGAGCCAUUUGGCUGCAGUGCUAUGGGACGCAGCAAUCUGGGCGCUUCCCCUUUAAGAGCACACUGCCCUCUCCCCAAACUGGGGGGGCAUUCAUAAUGCCCUCCCCCAAUUUGCUGAGACAUUAUUAGGGACCCUACUUAAUUAUUAGACUCCUAAUUAGGGGCUGUGUCGCCCCCUGGAGCCGUUUGGCUGCAGUGCUGUGGGGGGCAGCAAUUGGUGCGCUUCCCCUUUAAGAAUACACAGCCC
ensembl:lncRNA